GACGAACGCUGGCGGCGUGCUUAACACAUGCAAGUCGAACGGAAAGGCCCUGCUUUUGUGGGGUGCUCGAGUGGCGAACGGGUGAGUAACACGUGUGUAACCUGCCCUUGACUUUGGGAUAACUUCAGGAAACUGGGGAUAUUACCGCAUAGGAGCUCUUGCUGCAUGGUGGGGGUUGGAAAGUUUCGGCGGUUGGGGCUGGACUCGCGGCUUAUCAGCUUGUUGGUGGGGUAGUGGCUUACCAAGGCUUUGACGGGUAGCCGGCCUGAGAGGGGUACCGGCCACAUGGGGACUGAGGUACGGCCCAGACUCCUACGGGAGGCAGCAGUGGGGAAUAUUGCACAGUGAGCGGAAGCCUGAUGCAGCAACGCCGCGUGCGGGAUGACGGCCUUCGGGUUGUAAACCGCUUUCGCCUGUGACGAAGCGUGAGUGACGGUAAUGGGUAAAGAAGCACCGGCUAACUACGUG
rnacentral:rRNA from 1 species